UCAGGACGAACGCUGGCGGCGUGCCUAAUACAUGCAAGUCGAACGAACUCUGGUAUUGAUUGGUGCUUGCAUCAUGAUUUACAUUUGAGUGAGUGGCGAACUGGUGAGUAACACGUGGGAAACCUGCCCAGAAGCGGGGGAUAACACCUGGAAACAGAUGCUAAUACCGCAUAACAACUUGGACCGCAUGGUCCGAGUUUGAAAGAUGGCUUCGGCUAUCACUUUUGGAUGGUCCCGCGGCGUAUUAGCUAGAUGGUGGGGUAACGGCUCACCAUGGCAAUGAUACGUAGCCGACCUGAGAGGGUAAUCGGCCACAUUGGGACUGAGACACGGCCCAAACUCCUACGGGAGGCAGCAGUAGGGAAUCUUCCACAAUGGACGAAAGUCUGAUGGAGCAACGCCGCGUGAGUGAAGAAGGGUUUCGGCUCGUAAAACUCUGUUGUUAAAGAAGAACAUAUCUGAGAGUAACUGUUCAGGUAUUGACGGUAUUUAACCAGAAAGCCACGGCUAACUACGUGCCAGCAGCCGCGGUAAUACGUAGGUGGCAAGCGUUGUCCGGAUUUAUUGGGCGUAAAGCGAGCGCAGGCGGUUUUUUAAGUCUGAUGUGAAAGCCUUCGGCUCAACCGAAGAAGUGCAUCGGAAACUGGGAAACUUGAGUGCAGAAGAGGACAGUGGAACUCCAUGUGUAGCGGUGAAAUGCGUAGAUAUAUGGAAGAACACCAGUGGCGAAGGCGGCUGUCUGGUCUGUAACUGACGCUGAGGCUCGAAAGUAUGGGUAGCAAACAGGAUUAGAUACCCUGGUAGUCCAUACCGUAAACGAUGAAUGCUAAGUGUUGGAGGGUUUCCGCCCUUCAGUGCUGCAGCUAACGCAUUAAGCAUUCCGCCUGGGGAGUACGGCCGCAAGGCUGAAACUCAAAGGAAUUGACGGGGGCCCGCACAAGCGGUGGAGCAUGUGGUUUAAUUCGAAGCUACGCGAAGAACCUUACCAGGUCUUGACAUACUAUGCAAAUCUAAGAGAUUAGACGUUCCCUUCGGGGACAUGGAUACAGGUGGUGCAUGGUUGUCGUCAGCUCGUGUCGUGAGAUGUUGGGUUAAGUCCCGCAACGAGCGCAACCCUUAUUAUCAGUUGCCAGCAUUAAGUUGGGCACUCUGGUGAGACUGCCGGUGACAAACCGGAGGAAGGUGGGGAUGACGUCAAAUCAUCAUGCCCCUUAUGACCUGGGCUACACACGUGCUACAAUGGAUGGUACAACGAGUUGCGAACUCGCGAGAGUAAGCUAAUCUCUUAAAGCCAUUCUCAGUUCGGAUUGUAGGCUGCAACUCGCCUACAUGAAGUCGGAAUCGCUAGUAAUCGCGGAUCAGCAUGCGGGU
rnacentral:rRNA from 1 species